rnacentral:rRNA from 1 species
GACGAACGCUGGCGGCGGGCUUAACACAUGCAAGUCGAACGGAAAGGCCCUGCUUUUGUGGGGUGCUCGAGUGGCGAACGGGUGAGUAACACGUGAGUAACCUGCCCUUGACUUUGGGAUAACUUCAGGAAACUGGGGCUAAUACCGGAUAGUAGCUCCUGCUGCAUGGUGGUGGUUGGAAAGUUUCGGCGGUUGGGGAUGGACUCGCGGCUUAUCAGCUUGUUGGUGGGGUAGUGGCUUACCAAGGCUUUGACGGGUAGCCGGCCUGAGAGGGUGACCGGCCACAUUGGGACUGAGAUACGGCCCAGACUCCUGUGGGAGGCAGCGGGGGGGAAUAUUGCACAAUGGGCGGAAGCCUGACGCAGCAACGCCGCGUGCGGGAUGACGGCCUUCGAGUUGUAAACCGCUUUCGCAUGUGACGAAGCGUGAGUGACGGUAAUGGGUAAAGAAGCACCGGCUAACUACGUG